UCAUUCUCUGGUGGAAAGAAAUUUGGUUUUUUGGCUUUUGGUAUUUGACAAUUUAUGACUUCUUUAAUGUUUUGUUGGCAUGCUUUUCUGAUUUCAUUUUUUGGGCUAUUUGGGAUUUGCAGGAUUGUGCUUGGUAAUGGCUGUGAUUGUUUUGAUUCAGCUCUGAGUUAUUGGCUUUGGUUGCAUGUCCUGAAAGGGAAGGGAAACAGGUUAUGGUUCCGGGCCUACUGCCAAGAAUUGGUUCUGGUUAUGAUGAUCUCUGCAUAUGCUGCCUAGACAUCCGACGACAUUGCACCUGCAAUUUCACUCACAGAGAAUGCAUCAAAGCACUUCAAUAAGAUGAGAUCCAAACAUAAUGAGGAUCUAUGCCUGGGAAUUGGUGUUAAACAGGGUGGAUAUUCGGGCAUGUUGUAUACCAUGGACUUCUAUAGUAAAGAAAAUGCAAGACCAGAUGAUUCAACCAUUGAAUAUAAUGGUUUUAAGAUAGCAUCAUUUUCGAUUGACUGUCAAAGAAUGGAAGAAUUUAUGAGGAAGCUAGUACCAAGCAUUUGAAUGAAUAUGGAGAAGCUGGGUUGCGUACGUUGACGCUUGCUUAUAAAAAGCUUGAGGAGUCUGAGUAUUCUGCUUGGAACAAUGAAUUUCAAAAGCAAAAUCAUCUAUCGGGGCUGAUAGGGAGGUGAUGCUCGAGCGAGUAGCAGAGAAGAUGGAAAAAGACUUGAUCAUGGUUGGUGCUACAGCUGUGGAGGACAAAUUGCAAAA